AUUGAACGCUGGCGGCAGGCCUAACACCUGCAAGUCGAGCGAGCGGCGGACGGGUGAGUCAUGCCUGGGAAUUGCCCAGUCGAGGGGGAUCACAGUUGGAAACGACUUCUAAUACCGCAUACGCUUCGCUUGCCCCGGUGGGAUUUGCUAGUUGGUGGGGUAAUGGCUCACCAAGGCGACGCUCCCUAGCUGGUCUGAGAGGAUGAUCAGCCACACUGGAACUGAGACACGGUCCAGACUCCUACGGGAGGCAGCAGUGGGGAAUAUUGCACAAGGGGGGAAACCCUGAUGCAGCCAUGCCGCGUGUGUGAAGAAGGCCUUCGGGUUGUAAAGCACUUUCAGCGAGGAGGCGUUACUCGCAGAAGAAGCACCGGCUAACUCCGUGCCAGCAGCCGCGGUAAUAC
rnacentral:rRNA from 1 species